rnacentral:rRNA from 1 species
AGAGUUUGAUCCUGGCUCAGGAUGAACGCUAGCUACAGGCUUAACACAUGCAAGUCGAGGGGAAACGACAUCGAAAGCUUGCUUUUGAUGGGCGUCGACCGGCGCACGGGUGAGUAGCGCGUAUCCAACCUGCCCACCACUUGGGGAUAACCUUGCGAAAGUAAGACUAAUACCCAAUGACGUCUCUAGAAGACAUCUGAAGGAGAUUAAAGAUUUAUCGGUGAUGGAUGGGGAUGCGUCUGAUUAGCUUGUUGGCGGGGUAACGGCCACAAGGCGACGAUCAGUAGGGGUUCUGAGAGGAAGGUCCCCCACAUUGGAACUGAGACAUGGUCCAAACUCCUACGGGAGGCA